rnacentral:misc_RNA from 1 species
GUCUCCAAAGGAAUGCUGAAAAAUGACCUGAUUUUUGAACAGGAUUUAUGUCAUAUUCCGUUGCAUGUUUAAAAAAUGAUUCACAUUCAUGUUUGGGUUGUGACAUGAUUAAUUAAUUUUGUUUUCUUUAUGCCACCUUAACACCAUUGUACCCAUUUAUUGAAGUGACCUGAACACAACCUGCCAAGCUGAAUUGUCACUCCUUA